rnacentral:rRNA from 1 species
UACAGAGGGUGCGAGCGUUGUCCGGAAUCACUGGGCGUAAAGGGCGCGUAGGCGGUCCGGUAAGCGUGUGGUGAAAGCUCGGGGCUCAACCCCGCGUCGGCCAUGCGAACUGCGGGACUGGAGCAUGUCAGAGGCAGGCGGAAUUCCGGGUGUAGCGGUGGAAUGCGUAGAGAUCCGGAAGAACACCGGUGGCGAAGGCGGCCUGCUGGGACAUUGCUGACGCUGAGGCGCGACAGCGUGGGGAGCAAACAGG